CGGAGGGUGCAAGCGUUAUCCGGAUUCACUGGGUUUAAAGGGUGUGUAGGCGGGUAUUUAAGUCAGUGGUGAAAUCUCCGAGCUCAACUCGGAAACUGCCAUUGAUACUAUUUAUCUUGAAUAUUGUUGAGGUAGGCGGAAUAUGUCAUGUAGCGGUGAAAUGCUUAGAUAUGACAUAGAACACCGAUUGCGAAGGCAGCUUGCUAGACAAUUAUUGACGCUGAGGCACGAAAGCGUGGGGAUCAAACAGGAUUAGAUACCCUGGUAGUCCACGCCCUAAACGAUGAUUACUGGACAUUUGCGAUAUACAGUGAGUGUCUGAGCGAAAGCAUUAAGUAAUCCACCUGGGAAGUACGUCCGCAAGGAUG
rnacentral:rRNA from 1 species